UACAGAAGCAGGCAGGGAGUUCCAGAGUUUACCAGAAAAAGGGAUGAAAGAUUGAAAAUACUGGUUAACUUUUGCAUUAGAGAGGUGGACAGAAUAGGGGUGAGCAAAAGUAGAAAGUCGUGUGCAACGAGGGCGCGGGAGGAUGGAAGGCAUGCAGUUAGCAAGAUCAGAAGAACAGUUGACGAGAAAAUAUCGAUAGAAGAUAGCAGGAGAUGCGACAUUGCGGGGAAGAGAGAGAGGCUGAAGACAUUCAGUUAGAAGAGAGGAGCUGGUAAGACGAAAGGCUGGUCUGGUCUGGGGGGGACAGUCUCGUUAGGGGGACAGUAACCUGAUGAAGCGAGCAAACACGCGGUUCAAGAUUGUCCCAGAAACGAGUAAUCAUUGGUGACCGUCCUUAGCUCGGGACAGGACCAUCAGCUGGGCGGCGGCGGUAGUGGUGGCGACGGCGGUUGUGGUGGUAAGGUUAUACGAAGAGGAAGAAAAGGAAGAGAAAUAAAAGGAAAAGCCAGAGGAGGAGAAAGAAAAAUAGAAGAAGGCGCGAGAGAAGGAGAUGAGGAGGAGAAGGAGGAAAGCGCUAUAGAAGAAAGAAGAGCACCUCCCGCCUCGCGCCUUCCUUCCUCCCGUCUCCCGGAGUGUACACACCUGCACUCUUGAGGCUGCUGGCGAGAAGAACUGUGUCCCAAGCCCUCCACCAUGGCCGCCGCUCCGAAAGUUUGCGUCCGUCGCGCGAAGCUCAUCUUCCUGAUGGAGAACGCAGGCAAGGACGUCUUGACCUUCGUGUUGAAGCGCGGCGCGCUGAACGCCCCCGCCACGCCGCCAGGCCAGUCCCUCAUUGACUACCUUGACAACCUCCCUCAAGGCUCGACAGCCAACUAUGGCAGGAUGAGUAACAAACAAAAGAAAGCAGCACUGAACCACAGUUCAGUGCUGCUUAUCCUCUGACGUGACUACUUUAUUCAUUAUUUUUU